GACGAACGCUGGCGGCGUGCCUAACACAUGCAAGUCGAGCGAAUGAAGUUCCUUCGGGAAUGGAUUUAGCGGCGGACGGGUGAGUAACACGUGGGCAACCUGCCUCAUAGAGGGGAAUAGCCUUCCGAAAGGGAGAUUAAUACCGCAUAAGAUUGUAGUACCGCAUGGUACAGCAAUUAAAGGAGCAAUCAGCUAUGAGAUGGGCCCGCGGCGCAUUAGCUAGUUGGUGAGGUAACGGCUCACCAAGGCGACGAUGCGUAGCCGACCUGAGAGGGUGAUCGGCCACAUUGGGACUGAGACACGGCCCAGGCUCCUACGGGAGGCAGCAGUGGGGAAUAUUGCACAAUGGGGGAAACCCUGAUGCAGCAACGCCGCGUGAGUGAUGACGGCCUUCGGGUUGUAAAGCUCUGUCUUCAGGGACGAUAAUGACGGUACCUGAGGAGGAAGCCACGGCUAACUACGUGCCAGCCGCCGCCGUAA
rnacentral:rRNA from 1 species